rnacentral:lncRNA from 1 species
GUUAGGGGAGAGGGGUGAGCUACAAAGCCCAGUGAGCAGAAUAGUAUAAAACAAUAUAUUAAAAUUUCAUGCUUUCAUGGAAUGCAACACAUCACAACAAAUCACAUCUCGGAUGGUUUUGUCACCUAUAGUCCUCUACAUAGGUCCAACUGUGCCGGGACGUAGAAUGGGUCAACCGGUCUUUCCCUUAUCAUAACAUAUCAUAUGGACCAACUGUGCCAGGGACGUAGAAUGGGUACAACCUGGACUUUCUCUUACAUCGUGCCAGGGACGUAGAAUGGGUACAACCUGGACUUCCAAGCCAUAACAUGCCAUAACAUCAAUCAUAUCAUAUGAGGACUAAAGGAUCAUCCAAUAACCAAUCCACAUCAACAUAAACAUCAUAAAUGCAAUGCAACAUAUUCGUGAAUACUAAUGCAAGCAACCUAUUAUAUCUCAUGGC